rnacentral:snRNA from 1 species
GGAUGUGAGGCAGAUCUGGUUAUGACAUCUGUCAUCUCUUUGACCCUCAUCAGAGUUGAUUAAGCUCAUCUGUCUACCUAAGCUGGUAUUCCUUCUCCCUCACUGUUCCUNGUACAUUCUCCAACCCCCAAGGCUCUGUCCAUCAGACUCCCCCUUUCCACUCACUGCUGGUGUACAUCAUCNCACUCUAAAACCUGUGCACCCUGUUGAAGAAUAUAAUCCAAUAAAGGAAGGACCUNUUCAUUCAAGGGGAUAGCUAGAAACCCAGGGCUAGAAGCUCCAAAUAAGCCCUCAAAACACUCUUACUCACUUGGUGUCNGAGUUUGCAUGAAGAAAAAGAGUUUAACUUCUUUCUGC